AAACAAAGCUGAAGGCGUGGCUCCUCACUGGUCAGCAGCCCUGGGGCAGACCACUGAGAGGCUUUAACAUGGCUGGUAAGAUCUGUGCACCAGAGGAGACUAGCACAAGUAUGAAACAAUCAAACAAAAGCAUGAAACAGCCAGCCCCAAGAAUCAGAAAGAAGAAGGAAAAGAAGAGUUCUUGUCGACCCAAGCCCAGAGCCAGUGGCAAGGUGCAGAAGAAAACCACAAAGCCAAAAAGACCUCUUCAAAGGAAUUUGAGAAAAAAAACUCCUCGAGCAUCCCCUUCUUCCUCAAGAAUGCCUAACACAGCAAUAAGGCCAACGAUAUUCAUCUGUUACCACAAGCUGAGUGAGAAACAAAAUGAAAAUGAGCCGAGAGGGAAUAAGAAGCACUGGAAAAUCCAAACGUUCCAAGUAACAUCCUGUACAGCUAGCAAAUGCCAAGCAUGGGCCAGAAACCUUGCAUCUUCUGAAGCAGCUGUGGAGAACUGGUCAAACACAUAAAGAUCAAAUCUGGAGCAACAGGGUACACAGAUUGAUAAAAGGAAAGUCAACAAGUUGUGAAAAGGCAAUGUGUUUGUGUGUCUAUGACAGAUGAAGGGGAAAAAAUUAAGAGACAGGCAUGUGAGUAGGGAGGGAGGUGAGGUCCUGGACGGUUGGGGGCCAGACUGGCAGGUCCACAGUUAGCCAGACAUUGGGGAUAAGGACUGCAUGAGGACUGAGAACUAAACACAAAUAUUCUCAGCACUUUGUCCCACAGGCAAGAAGAAAAAGAGCUUUGGUGGUUCUAUGUGUGUUUGGUGUAGAGACGGGGCACAAAGUCAGAGCUGAGAUUGCCAGAACCCAGAUGGGAAGAGGGUUUAAUGCGUGGUGGGUGACAAUGACACUCCUCCUAAAACAGCAGACAAAAGCACCUCCAGGUCACCUAACCACCUCCGGAUGACGUAUGCCAUUGUGGUGUGCGUUGUACCCCACCCAAUGCUGUAAGCCACCAAAGGCCUUCAGAGAGACAAAAUCUCACCCUAUAGAAAGUCACCAACAGCACCCACACACACUAAAGUAAUGCUGUUUGGAGGCCACAAAUGCAAGAGCAAUUAAUUAGGCUAUUUUCUUGUUACGAAGGUUUGG
rnacentral:lncRNA from 1 species